rnacentral:lncRNA from 1 species
UGCAUACAGAAGCCGUUUCACAGAUAGUCUUCAGAUGACGUGUCGACUCCAUUUUCAAUUCAAACAAAUGAAAUAAGAAUAAACAAAUAUGAACAAAUAAAUAGUAGAAUAAUGGGCACAUUUUGAAACAACUCACGUGAGUUUGACUGAAAACAAAACAAACCCCAUAAAGGCUCCACUUUCUCAUAUUUGUUGGUUCCUCCCAUCUCUCCCGGUGAUCUGAAAUACUAGAUUUACUGUUGUUCUUGCCGGCGAUGUCGUCCUAAAAUCUGGCUACAGUCAAUCCGUUAGACAACAUCUUUACCUUUGUCAUAUUAUCGAGCGCCCACAGUGCAAAAAAGUUGCCAAUUUUGCCCUCCCCUGUCGUCUUCUCCGGUUAUCGUCAAUGGCUUUAGACUAGAAAUACUAGCAUCUAUGUAGCGUUUCGAGAAUGUUAGAUUUUUGGGAUUUUGAACAAAAUAUUUAUGGGUUUUUUUGCACCUAUUGUACAUGGUUUGAAACUACAAGAUUUUCGGCUUUUUCAAUAAACAAUUCUGCUAUGUUUCUUGCGUUGUGCAGUUCUAAAAUUGGAUAAUUUACGAGCUUGUUGAGAAGCUGUGAAAAGGAUGUGAUGUUUAUGUAUUUGUGUAUGUAGCAGUGAAUGGGACAAUUCUGCUAUUUUUGCAUCUAGA